UACGGGGGGGGCAAGCGUUGUUCGGAAUUACUGGGCGUAAAGGGCUCGUAGGCGGCCAACUAAGUCAGACGUGAAAUCCCUCGGCUUAACCGGGGAACUGCGUCUGAUACUGGAUGGCUUGAAUCCGGGAGAGGGAUGCGGAAUUCCAGGUGUAGCGGUGAAAUGCGUAGAUAUCAGGAGGAACACCGAUGGCGAAGGCAGGUCUCUGGGCCACUACUGACGCUGAGAAGCGAAAGCAUGGGGAGCGAACAGG
rnacentral:rRNA from 1 species